GCCCCUUCAUUGCAGUUGCCAUCGCCAACACCUGGAGGCACUGCCCUCCUCAGUUCAUAGGCCCCUUCUCCCACCCAAAGGGACCAGCCCACUGGCUCUCCUGGGUGAGUCUAAGGGUUUUCUUUUGGAAAUGGUUGGAAACGCAGGGGAGGGUGGCAUGUCAGGACCUCUCGGGCACGCCGUGGGUCCUUGUCUGAGCGCGGGAGAUCUGCUGUUGGAAGAGCAAGAGCCCAGCUCGGAUGGGCAGGCAGGGCACUGUGGAGGAAGAGCUCCUCUGUGAAGGCAAAGCCGGAGGCUGACUAUGCACAUAAAAUAGAGUCACCCCUCAGCGACUUGGUAGCUUAUCCACAGUGACAUUUCAGAUCUCAGGCUCCCCUUCCACACUCCCUGAAGAAAGACACAAAGCUGAGAGUGAAAGUCUGCUCUGUGUAGAAGCCUGGCAGAUUGAAACCUCUGCAGAUAAGCCAGGUGCAGAGGCUUCGGGAGCAGGGGCUGGGGAGCAAGCUCAGAGGUAACCAUGAAGAGGGGGUAGGGCUGGGAACCUCCAAAUCCCCGGGUUAGGGCAGAGGACCGUGAAGUGGUGAGGAGAGCAGAAGAUAACUCAAAGUAGAAAAAUGUGAUGAUACCUGACAGAGGAGGGGACUCAGCCCCAGCCACCCAGGGCUCCACCAGUAAAGAAGGCAGGUAAGGGCCUGCGAGAUGGGGCGGUCUAGAAAGAUGUACAUGCAGGGGUGUAGGGAACAGAGGAGGACGAGGUAGAGUAGGAGAGGUCAGCGGAGCAGAAGUGACAGCGGAGACUGGAGACCCAGGCCCGUAGUACUCCUGUCCCUGGUGGACCCCCCCUGCACGGCGCCCAGUAGUCUUCCUUCUGGCCCUUUCAUGGGUCAGCACUGUGGAGCCUUCUAAAGGCUUCACGUGCCCGGGAGCAGCAUCACUUUGGCCACAUGGGCCAUCUUGGGAGCACAGCAAAGGGUGUGAGGUGACCGUGAAAUGAAAUCAGCAAUGCUGAGGUGUAUUCAUAGAAUGCCAGUAACACUGAUGCAGUUUACUCUCAGUCUCAACACUGAGGGUGUUCGUUUUCUGGAGGUUCUAAGGAAAGAGGGUUGAGGCAGAGCAGAAGAGGAGAGGACCGUAACAUCACACAGGGGGUGCUCUUGCGGUGAGGACACCCUUCUCUGGGGAGGGUGGCCAAGGAGGACCAGAGGGGCGGGAGGACCGAGUCGCUGUCAGUGCUACUUCGGCAGCACGGUGCCCUGCGGAUGGACCCCUCGGAUACAAGUCACCGUUCAGGGUGACCCUGACAGGCUGCCCCUGCUGGUCCGCAGGCCACAGAAGGCUGGGGGGUGCGGAGAGCGUGGCCCCCCGGGGGAGAGAGAACGGGGUGAUACGAGACAGAGAGCGUGCUCCCUGAUCUGCCUGCCGGCCACGGUGGUUUGAGGAGCUGUUUUAUUUUUUCCUAGCCCUCUUGCCAAACUGCCCACGCCCCUCCUCCUCUUCCCGACGCAUGAUGGAUGCCCUUAGUGGCCCUGUGUGAGGUUCUGCUACUGUUCACAGUGUACCAUGUGUCUGCAUAAACAACCGUGUGUGCGUGUGUGUGCGUGUGUGUGUGUGUGUUGAUGUGCCCAUGUCGUUCGUCUGCCGGCUUCCUCCAUCCUUUGAGUUCUUUUCAGUUCUCUUAUGAUUUGACUGCUGUUCUCUCAUCAGAGCUUUUAGAUUGAUGCUGUGGUCUGGUGCUGUAUAAAUAUUUUUCCUUUUGAUUUUGUUUUAACUUUUCCUUGCCCUUCUUCACCCUCCACCCAACUGUCCCUGCCCUCCCACAGUCCCCGACCCCACCCGACCUGCCCCUGCCUCUUCCCUCCCCCUUGCCCACACUCUCUUGUCCUCUCUUUCUUUCUUUCUCUCUCUCUCUCUCUACAUAUAUAAAUAUAUAUAAAAAUCUUUUCUUCUUUUGUCAUUCAAUCAAAUUCCAACAACCCAACCAGGGCCAGUCAAAUCUACCACAGUCUCGCGCUGAGCUAGGAAUAAAGUUCACGUAAUCACAUGAGAGUGGAGAAAACAGUCCCCCAUCCGGCAGGAUGCUGAACGGGCUACAUUAAAAAACAAACCUCUCUCUAUAUAUAUUUAUAAAUGAGAACUGUUGGAUGACACCUUUGACAUAUCAGCCAAUAUCAAUCAAGCUGAAGACUCCAGACACUCUCUGUGACUGUAACAUUUCUUCAAGGAAAGUAUAGCGUCUGUGGAGUUCAGAGGGCAUGUGUUUGGGGGAAAAUAUAUAUGACACAAAGAAGAAGAUGAAGAAAAAUGAGAAAAAAAACACAAAAAAGGCAACUUUAAAACAAAAUAACUUGAGACCAGAUGGGGAGGCUGAAGGGCUGGGAAGUGGGAAGAGACGCUGCUUACCGAUCCCCGGGGCUUUUCCAGCCCGUGGGCGCCUGAGGCAGGCUGGGGCAAGCGGUGUGGCGGGGCCUGGUCCCCAGGGGGCGGCUGGGAGGCCGCCACUGAGCAUCUCUAUCUGUCAUUCCUUUAGCUACUUAGGGACCAAAGGACCAAACUUUUUAUUGCAGCUGUGUAGCUCUAUGUCAAAUAGAGGGGGUUGGAGGAGAGCCUCCUUCCUGCCUCAUGGCUGUUCUUGAAACAGCUUAGAGCGAUUCUAUGAAAAAUGUAAUAAAAAAAAAAUUAAAAAAAAAAACAAAAAAGCAAAAACAAAAAAAAAAAAGGAAAAUAAUGCUUCAAUGCUUUUAAAACAGCAAGAUAAUAGUUCUUUGAUACUUUGAGAGGCGCUUUGAUUACCCUCAUUCAAGUCUAUGACACUUUCCUAUGGUUUUCUGUAUUAUAUGUCUGGAUGGAGCUGUUAAGAUGAACAAAUUGGUGGAUAUUUGGGGAAAGCAACAAAAAUAUUAAAACUCUUUAACUGUGAAGUGUGAGAAAACAAGGAGGGGAAAAAAGGGACUUACAAGGCAAGAUAAUUGUUGUGAAAAGUCUGUAAAUGCUUCUAACUCUUCCCCCUCUUAAAAUCAUAAUAGUUGUACAGAAUUUUAAAAAGGAGAAGUUUAAAAUACCUAUAUAAUAGAAGAAAAAUUAGAGGAAAGCAAAAAAUAAAAAAAUAAAAAAGGAAAAAAAAAACCUAUAGAAGUUAGCGUUACUGCUAAAAUCCCAGAUGUUGUAGGACUGUACUUUUGUAGAGUUUAGACUGAGCAUCGAUCCCUUCUCCCCGCGAGUGCUGUCGGACGCCGUGCACCCCGAGGGCCAGGCCGGACUCGCCCAGACCUGCGGGCUCCCGGCCGCUCACCCCGCCGGUGGGGGCCGCGCCGUCGCUGGAAGGCCCGCCGCCCGCCCUCGCCUGCUUCGCUCGGGAGCUGCGCGCGCUCGCCCGCUCUCCGCAAGCUCUCGACACCUGCCGCUUCACUCGCCUUCCAUGCUUGCUCCAGAGACUUUCCGGGCAAGGGAGACCUGGGAAAUUCAUCUUAAAACAACUAAACAACACACACACACACAAAAACCUUAAACAAGAGAGAGAAAAAUAAACAAUCUUUGAAGAAUUUCUGAAACUGUUUACAAGGAAUUUUGAAAAACAGGGAUGUUUAAAUGAUGCCGGCUCUGUUUUUCUGUAAAUAAAUUUGCAUAUUUUGUAGGACUUUUAAUUGUAAUGAUAGAGAAAAAAAACAAGGAAAACUAUUUAAUGAAAGCACGAUAUUUAUCUUUGGUAAAUGACUUUAGAGCAGUUAAAAAGACAUUGCUUAAAAAAACUCAGAAUCAGAAAAAAACACUGAAUUAUUUAAGAACACAUAUAUUUUAAAGUAUAACAUAUUUAUUAUAAUUUAUUUGCACCGUUGGGAAGACUUGCUUUGGCAUUCUGCCUUGAUAUCCUCCUCUCAUUGAUGUCCAGGUCAUCUGGAGGCCAGGGGGCUCUCGGACCUAUCAUCCCUCCCCCCUUUUUUUUUGCUUUAGAACAACUGUCUGGUUCCUCUUAGGCCUCCUGCCUUUCCUUUCUUUCUUUCUAUUCUGUUGGUUAAUUAUCAUUUUUAAAAUUUUCUUUUUCUUUCUCUUGGCUCCUCCUUUUAGGAUGUCCAGAUGUAAAAAAAAAAAAAAAAAAAAAAACAGCUGCAGUUCAGUACAACUGCUCUUUUCACACUCAACUCCCUAAAACUCCUUGUAACCUUCUGUAACUAUUGGAUGACGCUUUCUCCAGCUUAGCCCUAAAUAAAGCACAGUUUAAAACAAAAAA